rnacentral:rRNA from 1 species
UACGGAGGGUGCGAGCGUUAAUCGGAAUAACUGGGCGUAAAGGGCACGCAGGCGGAUAAUUAAGUGAGAUGUGAAAUCCCCGAGCUUAACUUGGGAAUUGCAUUUCAUACUGGUUAUCUAGAGUCUUGUAGAGAGGGGUAGAAUUCCACGUGUAGCGGUGAAAUGCGUAGAGAUGUGGAGGAAUACCGGAGGCGAAGGCGGCCCCUUGGACAAAGACUGACGCUCAUGUGCGAAAGCGUGGGGAGCAAACAGGAUUAGAUACCCUGGUAGUCCACGCUGUAAACGAUGUCGAUUUGGGGGUUGGGCUUAGGUCUGGCUCUCGUAGCUAACGCGAUAAAUCGACCGCCUGGGGAGUACGGCCGCAAGGUUAAA